GAUGGAGAAGGAAGAGAUGAGCAGACACCUGAUUGCCCAAGUGGCUUCACUCCAAGGGGCUCCUCCUGCUUCACCCUCUCUGAUGAUUCAUGGAGAUGUCUGCUAUGUCCAGCACUAAACAUCCUGGUAACUUUUUCCUUGGAAGCACAAGUGGGGCAGGCAGGCAGGUGGAAGCCCCAGAAGGGAUGGAGUGAUCAGCUCCAGCUCCACCCUUUUCAUGCAGGGAAAUUGUAAAGGCUGAGAACGUUUCUGUCUGAGUGGAUUGAGCAGGACUUUGAACUGGAUGCUCCGUGGAAAAAGGGACUAAGACAUUUUUAGCCCUUGCUGGAAGUGUUCAAAGCCAGGUUGGAGGGGCUUGCAGGCAGUCCCUGUCCCUGGCAGGGGGUUGGAAUGAGAUGGUUUUUAAUAUUCAUUCCCACCCAAACCAUUCAAUGAUUUUAUGAUUUAAGACUUUGUAGGCAACCAAGUUAUGCAUUUCCUGUCCCCAUGAAUAUCCAACCUGGUUUACCCUGACUGUAGAUUUUGGGAAUUCUCCAGGUCUUACCCUGGAAAUGGACUUGGCAUAAUCCACCCAGACAAUUCCAUUUAUUUAUGCCACUUGUUCCCAUUUUCCUUGGAGAAAACGAAAUAACCUGCCCACAGAUGCGAUGAUCAAAACAAAACCCCCACCCCGACAUCAGCAGCACUGCUGGCCUGACCAGAGAUGAAUUAAAGGAUUAAUCCCAAUAAAUGGUGUGAAUUCCCAGAGUGCUUUCACUGCUCCCUGGAAUCACCAGCCCAGCCUGAAGGCGAUGCUGAGGUGAGAAAACAACCCACGUGCAUUCCUGGCCUCUCAUCUAACCCAUGAUCCCUGCCCACUCUUUCCAAAUCGUUGGCUUCCUCAUCACUCUGUCCAAAGGCAGGGGAGAUUUAUAUCCUGUCCCCAGGUGAGGGUGUUUUUCCUGGGCUGUGGAGACGACCAGGAGAAGAUGAAGUUCUCCCUCCUUGCGGUGCUGGCUUUGGUCCUGUUUGCAGCUCAAGCAAAUGCCCUGUACUGCUACACCUGCAACUGGGAGCAGAGCAACUGGAGGUGCCUGAAGGCUGAGAAGUGCUCGGACAAGGACGAGUACUGCGUCACCAACGUGGCCUCCGUGGGGAUCGGUGGGUGCUGGCCCUGGGCCCCCUCCUGGGGCUCAGGAAUGGGAUCUGGGCUCUCACAUGUGGGGCUCCAGGUGGCUUUAAAAUGCUGUUUAUUGUAUGCAAAUGGUACAGCCAUUCAAGGGGUGUGGGUGACACGAGCUCUGAAGCCAACUCUAGUUCAGGUCAUAAUGCAUUACAUACUUUUUAUUGCAGAGCAUCCUAAAACAGGACACCCAAUCAAUACUUUUACUUAUAGCCUAUCAUAACUAUAAAUAUUACCACAUUCUUUUCCAAUCAUAAAAGGUUAGUUUGUUGCAGUUUAAGCUAAAAGUUGUUUUUCAGUUUUGCUUGCAGUAGAAAAUGUUUAGAUCUUUUCUCUACUUGCAACAUGGCAUUUUUGUAUGCCUGUGAAAAUCUUUUGGCUUGGUAAAAACAUCUUUUGUUUGAGGUGAAUUUAUCCUUUGCUCAGAGUCAUAAAAGCCCCUUCCAACUCACUUGCUCUUUGCCUUCAAGUUAUCCAGUAAGACUGGUUCAGUAAUUCUUCUAUAUCAAAACUUGCUAUCAUUUCUAUUCCUUCUUCAGAGUCUACAUUCAAAGAUCUUUCUGUCAAAUUCUUAUCCUUCCCAACACUGAGGAGUCCUUGGGAAGCACAAGUGGGAGGUGAAACCCUUCCUAACCCAGCCUGGAAGGUUUGGGUUUGGAAUUCUCCUCCCCAUUGUAAAUUGAGAAUUUCCUGUUGUUUUAUUCCUGCAUGGAAAAUCAGGGCACAUUGAGAGAAGGGAGAAUAAAUAAAUUUGAACUUUGAUUCCUGGGAGCAGAGCCCAAACCCAGCCUGGUUGCACCCUCAGGGAGUUGUGCAAAGCCAGGUCCCCCCUGAGCCUCCUUUUCUCCAGGCUGAGCCCCUUUCCCAGCUCCUCAGCCUCUCCUGGUGCUCCAGACCCAUCCCCAGCUCCAUUCCCUUCUCUGGAUGUGCUCCAGCUCCUCAAUUUCUUUGUUGCCAUGAUGGUCCCAAAACUGAUCCCAAGAUUUGAGGUGUGGCCUCACCAGUGACAAAAAAAAGGGAAAAAAAAAUUACUUCUCUGGUCCUGCUGGUCACACUAUUUCUGAUCCAAGCCUGAUAUGGAGGAAACAGGAUUAUUUCCCUCAAAUGGAGAAGCCUGGAAAUGUGAUUGAAAUCCAGGAAUGAACAUUGUCGUUGUACACAUAAAAAAGUCUUGAGAAUCCUUGCUGGGAAGUGCUGGAUGCCCAGCAUGGAUAUGGAAUUCCUUGUGUAGAGGUCACCAACAAUUCCUGGGCUGUGGUAAAAGGAUGGAUGGGACCAGGGUGGGGCCAUGGGGGGACCAGGAUGGGUCUCAUGGGGAUCUCUGGGGACCAGGAUGGGUCUCAUGGGG
rnacentral:lncRNA from 1 species